rnacentral:rRNA from 1 species
UCAGAACUCCGAAGUUAAACGUGCUUGGGCGAGAGUAGUACUAAGAUGGGUGACCUCUUGGGAAGUCCUCGUGUUGCACCCC